rnacentral:rRNA from 1 species
GAUGAACGCUGGCGGCGUGCCUAAUACAUGCAAGUCGAGCGAACAGAUGAGGAGCUUGCUCCUCUGACGUUAGCGGCGGACGGGUGAGUAACACGUGGAUAACCUACCUAUAAGACUGGGAUAACUUCGUGAAACCGGAGCUAAUACCGGAUAAUAUAUUGAACCGCAUGGUUCAAUAGUGAAAGACGGUUUUGCUGUCACUUAUAGAUGGAUCCGCGCCGCAUUAGCUAGUUGGUAAGGUAACGGCUUACCAAGGCAACGAUGCGUAGCCGACCUGAGAGGGUGAACGGCCACACUGGAACGGAGAAACGGACAAGAGUCCUACGGGAGGCAGCAGUAGGGAAGCUUCCGCAAUGGGCGAAAGCCUGACGGAGCAACGCCGAGUGAGAGAUGAAGGUCUUAGGAUCGUAAAACUCUGUUAUUAGGGAAGAAAAAAUGUGUAAGUAACUAUGCACGUAUUGACGGUACCUAAUCAGAAAGCCACGGCUAACUACGUG